UGCAGUCGAACGGCAGCGCGGGGCAACCUGGCGGCGAGUGGCGAACGGGUGAGUAAUAUAUCGGAACGUACCCUGGAGUGGGGGAUAACGUAGCGAAAGUUACGCUAAUACCGCAUACGAUCUAAGGAUGAAAGUGGGGGAUUCGCAAGAACCUCAUGCUCCUGGAGCGGCCGAUAUCUGAUUAGCUAGUUGGUAGGGUAAAAGCCUACCAAGGCUUCGAUCAGUAGCUGGUCUGAGAGGACGACCAGCCACACUGGAACUGAGACACGGUCCAGACUCCUACGGGAGGCAGCAGUGGGGAAUUUUGGACAAUGGGCGCAAGCCUGAUCCAGCAAUGCCGCGUGAGUGAAGAAGGCCUUCGGGUUGUAAAGCUCUUUUGUCAGGGAAGAAACGGUGAAGGCUAAUAUCUUUUGCUAAUGACGGUACCUGAAGAAUAAGCACCGGCUAACUACGUGCCAGCAGCCGCGGUAAUACGUAGGGUGCAAGCGUUAAUCGGAAUUACUGGGCGUAAAGCGUG
rnacentral:rRNA from 1 species